rnacentral:piRNA from 1 species
UCCAGGAACCUGUGUCUGUGUCUGUAAUUU